CCUACGGGAGGCAGCAGUGGGGAAUAUUGCGCAAUGGGCGAAAGCCUGACGCAGCGACGCCGCGUGAGGGAUGAAGGUCUUCGGAUCGUAAACCUCUGUCAGCAGGGAAGAACGGUCACUGUGCUAAUCAGCAGUGAAUUGACGGUACCUGCAAAGGAAGCACCGGCUAACUCCGUGCCAGCAGCCGCGGGAAUACGGAGGGUGCGAGCGUUAAUCGGAAUUACUUGGCGGAAAGCGCUCGUAGGCGGUAUGUCAAGUCAAGGGUGAAAUCCCCGCGCGCAACGGUGGAACUGCCUUUGAAACUGGCAAACUGGAGUGUGUGAGAGGAUAGUGGAAUUCCAGGUGUAGGAGUGAAAUCCGUAGAUAUCUGGAGGAACAUCAGUGGCGAAGGCGACUAUCUGGCACAUAACUGACGCUGAGGAGCGAAAGCGUGGGUAGCAAACAGGAUUAGAUACCCUUGUAGUC
rnacentral:rRNA from 1 species